rnacentral:rRNA from 1 species
UACGGAGGGUGCUAGCGUUGUUCGGAAUGACUGGGCGUAAAGGGCGCGUAGGCGGCUUGGCAAGUCGGGUGUGAAAGCCCGGGGCUCAACCCCGGAACGGCCUCCGAUACUGCCUGGCUCGAGACCGGGAGAGGAGGGUGGUAUAUCCAGUGUAGAGGUGAAAUUCGUAGAUAUUGGAUGGAACACCAGUGGCGAAAGCGGCUCUCUGGCCCGGAUCUGACGCUGAGGCGCGAAAGCGUGGGAGCAAACAGG